GGGCCUCUAGCUCAAUUGGCAGAGCAGCGGACUUUUAAUCCGCGGGUUGUGGGUUCGAACCCCACGGGGCCCA
rnacentral:tRNA from 1 species